ACGUAGGUGGCGAGCGUUGUCCGGAAUUACUGGGCGUAAAGGGCGCGUAGGCGGUUUUUUAAGUUAGAUGUGAAAACCCAGGGCUUAACUUUGGGCGUGCAUUUAAAACUGGAGAACUUGAGUGCAGGAGAGGUAAGUGGAAUUCCUAGUGUAGGGGUGAAAUGCGGAGAUAUUAGGAGGAGCACCAGUGGCGAAGGCGACUCACUGGACUGUAACUGACGCUGAGGCGCGAAAGCGUGGGGAGCAAACAG
rnacentral:rRNA from 1 species